UACAGAGGUCUCAAGCGUUGUUCGGAUUCAUUGGGCGUAAAGAGCUCGUAGGCGGUCUGUCGCGUCGGCUGUGAAAACUCGGGGCUCAACCCCGAGCCUGCAGUCGAUACGGGCAGACUAGAGUGCUGUAGGGGAGACUGGAAUUCCUGGUGUAGCGGUGAAAUGCGCAGAUAUCAGGAGGAACACCGGUGGCGAAGGCGGGUCUCUGGGCAGUAACUGACGCUGAGGAGCGAAAGCGUGGGGAGCGAACAGG
rnacentral:rRNA from 1 species